rnacentral:lncRNA from 1 species
GUAUCUCGGCGUCUCCUCUGCUCCCUGUGCGAGAGUGAGCCGUCUGCCUGCCGCUCGGGCUGGCAGGGUUGGGAACACCAGGCUUGGUGACUUUUCAUCGUUCCCAUUACUUACGACCUACGCAACUCGCUGGAGCUCCCACGUUUUCAGGAGGGAUGAUUUGCUCAUGCAUUGCCGAUAACCUCCCCUCCCUCGUUCUGAGUUCUGGUGGUUCCAGUGGGCCUGACCCGAAUCUCUGCUUCACAAGUUGGUAUGUGGCCCAGCCUGGCCGAAUUGAGGCCAACGAGAGUCAGGCCAGGGCUUUUUCCGGACCUGCUGUGAGAGAGAGACUCUCUUUCCAUCUAGGUUGCCAAGUUGGUAAAAGGUAAGCCUGAAGCUCCUGG